CGUUACACACCGCCCGUCACACCAUGGGAGUUGGUUCUACCUGAAGACGGUGCGCUAACCGCAAGGAGGCAGCCGGCCACGGUAGGGUCAGCGACUGGGUG
rnacentral:rRNA from 1 species